UACUCAUAUUUAGAAGUGAGAUUUAGUAUGUACGAACAUGGUAAUAACAUGUUGUACAAUAAGCUAUGUGAAGUGUACUACAAACUUGGCUUUAUUUUAUUGGACAUCAUUUUUUUUGUUAUUUUCCUGUUGACACGCGUAUUUGCACUAUCAUCUCACCAAUGCUCAAAACACUCACCAGCCAACGUUAGGUUCAUUGCUUCAGAGCUUCAGCCUUCAAGAUGGAUCUUUGAGGUUCACUUUCUUCUUCAUUGACUCUUUUAAAUUCAAGUUUCUUAAUUGUAUUUUGUGAUAAGUUUUUCUCGCUUUUUUCUUCCUUAAUUUUUUUUUUUUGCUUUAAUCUUUUUCUUGUGCAAUUAGUGAUUUUUUUAGAGAAUAUAAAGACAUGAAGUUUAUAGAUGUGACUAGUUUUAUUUCCCCUGAUCCAUUUGUGGAAAGGAAAAUUGGAUGAAAAUGACUAUAAACAAAAUAAUAUUUAACAACCAUCCAAAUAAGUUGUUGAUGAAGAUGGAGAUACUCUUACUCAAAUUUCGACAAACAUUCAUCAUCUGAAUCAAAUUUUGAUAUUUAUUCUUUUAAAUUAUUGUUCUCUAUUGUUUUUUCUCUAUAAAUAAUAAAUGAAUGUCAAUAUUAUUUUCUGAUUUAUUCAUGCAUCUUCACGAAUAAAUACUCAAGUUUCCUUAGUGCACCAAGGGUGUUUGAUAAUAUGCCUACAUCGAGAUGGAUCUUUGAUUCAGCACUAAAGGUGAAGGAGAAAAGGAAAAAAUAUAUGAUUGUUAUUUGUGCAAUUUGAACCAUUCAAUUCCAGGUAGAGUCUAAGUUAUUCAUAAAAUGAAUUGACCCUCAACUCCCUCUAAUUCUAUAUAGAAGCAACAUUACGUGCCUCAUUAUGAAAAACCAUUUUUUUUUCCAUUUUAUCACAGCUAAACUGGAAGGAUUAGAGUCAUUUUUUUGCUUCCUGGAGAAUACAGCAGGGUACUUGAAUGUUUCUCAUAAUAUCAAAAUAAUUUAGAAUAAUUGAAGGAUCUUCUCUAGAUUUGGUAACAACAUUUGAUGUUGGACCUAAUUAAUGUGCGAAAUGAUAGUUAAGUUGUCUGUAUGCGGUCAUCAUCAGUUGUAUUGGUUUAUGAAUGCUCACGGAAUCAAAUAAUGCAUUUAUUGCAAAUGAUGUAUCUUUACAUUUGAGUUUUAUGCAUGAUCAAUGUAAAUGUUUUUUUGCACUAUCAAGUUAGUGGACUUUCAUUAACCUUCUUGAUAAAAUGUGCUAUCCACAUGUCAAAAUUAUUUACGUUACGUUGACAAUGUAUAUUAUUUAUUAAACUCUUACGUUUUAUUGUGCUUUCUAUUCUGGCUUUGAAAUUUGGGGGCUAAGAAAAAGGUUGGGAUGUUCAUUGUUCAACUAAUUUGAGAUAUUAGACGAUAUUGAUGUAAUGAAAUUGGAAGAUGGUGUAAUUCAAAACAUGGUAAAGUCUCUGAUUUGUAUUCAUAAGUUGCAAUCCUUGAUUGUUUUUCAUUGUAUUGAGUUCUUUUUCAUAAUGUUGGCAAUUUUGACAAAUCUACAAUGAUUUUAACUCCACCAUAUCCAUACUUGGUCACCCAUGGAAGAAGUUUGAAAAGAUAAUUCAGCAAUUAUUUGAAAAUCUUUCCUCAUGUUGGGAACCAAAAUGAGGUACAAGAAGCAAUGUAAAGUGUACUUCAAACAAAACUUGAAUUGUACGAGUAGGGUUAAAAUAGUAAAUUCACUUUAUUCACUCUCUCACCUCUGCUUCUACUCUUUCUUCUAUGCCUGACAACUUUCAUGGCAAAUUGACAACCAUUUUAAACCUUCAACGGAGUUAAACUUUACUUCAGAGUCUCACUCCAACUUCUCAAGUUCUUUCAAUUGUUUACCUGAUAAUUAAUGACUUGAUGCGGUCGCAUGUUUGACGAAAUUUCCCGUGAAGGUAAGACUUGUGUAUUAUGAAGAGAGAUUAGUUAUAAGAGUAGAUUGUUUUGGCAGAUGAUUCAAGGUGCUAAUGAAGUUGAACGGUGGGCUUAGGUGAAUAGGCAUUUUCCCUUAUAAAAUCUUUUUUUCAUAUGGUAUUUUCCCCAAAAAAUAUUGAGAAAGAAUUUGAGUUGCCGAACUCUUUGACGCUGCCAUGAAAUUAGAAGUGAUAACGUAAUGCUGAAAAUUCAGGGUAAGCUUUCAGCAUUGAUCUUUUUGUUGUUUGAAUUACAUCUUCGAAAAAAAUUCAGCUACUAAUAUAGUAAGUUGAGGUGGUAUUCAAAGAAACAUUAUUUAAAUUACAAAGUCAGAAUAACAAGCAAGUUGAAUCAGGCGAAAAGGUUGAUUUCAGGCUCACCAAUUUCCAAGUCCUUUAAGGUACCAUUCCACAUUUUCUUAAGAACCUUUAAAAUUUUUGGCAAUAGACCGUGAUGUUGGUGUUGCAUUUAUUUUUAGCAGAUGUUCUUGGAUAAAAGCUGAAACUUUAAUAUUGAAAAUUCUGUUACUAGAUUGAGUUCUAGAAGUCUGUCAUAUGAUCUUAUGCUUUCUCAAAGUUUUUGUUUCAUGUGUUCAUAUUAGUUAGAUACAAUUGAUAAUGUUAAAAA